GCCAGGGUCUGAGGGAGGGGUCUCUGCUGCUGGUGGAGGGAAACAAAGCCACGCUGCUGGGAACCACCAGGGCUCGACUCUUCACCAGGGGAAAGCCUACGGUGGAUUACGACCCAGGAAGUGACCUCAGCUUCCUGCUGACACAUUGACCAAUCAGAGGGAAGCAGGAUGACACCCUUACAUUACUCAGAUUGGCAUUUUGGUCAAAACUAAAUAAAUAUCUUAAGUCCA